CAUGUUUUUCAGUAGUAAACAUUCACUAGGACUUCCAACAGAUUGUAAAACGGGUGGAGUAAAAUUUGUUGGAAGUACUGGUGCAGCAACUGCAGUUUGACCGUUUAGAGGCAAGCUGGUAGCUCUUUGAUUUGGGGCUGAACCAUUCAACACCGGAGCUCCAAGAGAUCCUGCAAUACUUGUAGCAAUGCCAGUGCGGUCAAGCUUCUGCAUAAGCAGAGCUCUUGAUUGAGCAUUCAAUGCCAGACCACCCCCUUCAUCAUCAUCAAGGUCAUUUGACUUUGCAACACUCUCUUGUGCUCCAAUGUGAUCUGUUACAGAUGAAACCUUAAUGGUUCGGCCAGCAAUUUCUAAUUUCCCAUUCAAGCUUUGAGCUGCCUUUGCAUGCUCUAGAUGAGCAAAUUGAACAAAUCCAAAACCCUUACAGUGACCUGACUCAAGGUCAAGAGGUAGUUGCACAAGCUCCACAGGACCAAAUGCUUCAAAAAUCUCUCGAAG
rnacentral:misc_RNA from 1 species